rnacentral:tRNA from 1 species
UGGGAGGUAACUCAAUGGUAGAGCACAUGAUUCAUGCUCUAAGUCCUGGGUUCAAUUCCCAGCUCCUAA